UACGUAGGGGGCUAGCGUUGUCCGGAUUUAUUGGGCGUAAAGAGCGUGUAGGCGGCCAGGUAGGUCUGCUGUGAAAACUCGAGGCUUAACCUCGAGAUGUCGGCGGAAACCAUCUGGCUAGAGUCCGGAAGAGGAGAGUGGAAUUCCUGGUGUAGCGGUGAAAUGCGCAGAUAUCAGGAAGAACACCCGUGGCGAAGGCGGCUCUCUGGAACGCAACUGACGCUGAGGUGCGAAAGCGUGGGGAGCAAACAGG
rnacentral:rRNA from 1 species